GACGAACGCUGGCGGCGUGCUUAACACAUGCAAGUCGAACGGAAAGGCCCUGCUUUUGUGGGGUGCUCGAGUGGCGAACGGGUGAGUAACACGUGAGUAACCUGCCCCUGACUUUGGGAUAACUUCAGGAAACUGGGGCUAAUACCGGAUAGGAGCUCCUGCUGCAUGGUGGGGGUUGGAAAGUUUCGGCGGUUGGGGAUGGACUCGCGGCUUAUCAGCUUGAUGGUGGGGUAGUGGCUUACCAAGGCUUUGACGGGUAGCCGGCCUGAGAGGGUGACCGGCCACAUUGGGACUGAGAUACGGCCCAGACUCCUACGGGAGGCAGCAGUGGGGAAUAUUGCACAAUGGGCGGAAGCCUGAUGCAGCAACGCCGCGUGCGGGAUGACGGCCUUCGGGUUGUAAACCGCUUUCGCCUGUGACGAAGCGUGAGUGACGGUAAUGGGUAAAGAAGCACCGGCUAACUACGUG
rnacentral:rRNA from 1 species